rnacentral:rRNA from 1 species
UACGUAGGGUGCAAGCGUUGUCCGGAGUUACUGGGCGUAAAGCGCGCGCAGGCGGCGGUGUUGGCCCGGCGUGAAAGCCCCCGGCUCAACCGGGGAGAGUCGUCGGGGACCGCACCGCUUGAGGGCGGUAGGGGCUGGUGGAAUGCCUGGUGUAGUGGUGAAAUGCGUAGAGAUCAGGCAGAACACCUGGGGCGAAGGCGGCCAGCUGGGCCGUCCCUGACGCUGAGGCGCGAAGGCGUGGGGAGCGAACAGG